rnacentral:rRNA from 1 species
AAUCUGGGGCCCACGGCCUCCGAGUUGUAAUUUGGAGAGGCAUCUUCGGGGGGGAGCGCCGGCCCAUGUUCCUUGGAACAGGACGUCACAGAGGGUGAGAAUCCCGUGCCAGGCCGGCUGCCUCCUCCCGGGUGAAGGGCCUUCGACGAGUCGAGUUGUUUGGGAAUGCAGCUCCAAGUGGGUGGUAAAUUUCAUCUAAAGCUAAAUACCGGCGGGAGACCGAUAGCGCACAAGUAGAGUGAUCGAAAGAUGAAAAGCACUUUGAAAAUAGAGUCAAAAAGUACGUGAAAUUGUUGAAAGGGAAGCGCUUGAGACCAGACUCAGGCCCGGGCAAACAUCUCGCCCCUCGGGGCCGUGCAAUUGCCCGGGGCUGGGCCAGCAUCAGUUGGCGUGGCGGGACAAAGGCGCGGGGAAUGUGGCUCCCCUCGGGGAGUGUUAUUAGGCCCGCGCUGGAUGCCGCCGACGCCGACUGAGGACCGCGCCUCGGCUAGGAUGCUGGCUUAAUGGCCUUCAGCGACCCGUCUUGAAACACGGACCAAGGAGUCUAACAUCUAUGCGAGUGUUUGGGCGCCAAACCCUUGCGCGGAAUGAAAGUGAGCGGAGGUGGGAACCCCCCCGCGGGGCGCACCAUCGACCGAUCCUGAUGUCUUCGGAUGGAUUUGAGUA